rnacentral:rRNA from 1 species
GCCUAACACAUGCAAGUCGAACGGAGUUAUUUUGAUUGAUUCCUUCGGGAUGAUUGAUUUUUAACUUAGUGGCGGACGGGUGAGUAACGCGUGAGUAACCUGCCUUUGAGAGGGGGAUAACGUUCUGAAAAGAACGCUAAUACCGCAUGACAUAUCGAAGCCGCAUGACUUUGAUAUCAAAGAUUUAUCGCUCAAAGAUGGACUCGCGUCCGAUUAGUUAGUUGGUGAGGUAACGGCUCACCAAGACCGCGAUCGGUAGCCGGACUGAGAGGUUGAACGGCCACAUUGGGACUGAGACACGGCCCAGACUCCUACGGGAGGCAGCAGUGGGGGAUAUUGCGCAAUGGGGGCAACCCUGACGCAGCAACGCCGCGUGAAGGAUGAAGGUUUUCGGAAUGUAAACUUCUUUUGUUAGGGACGAACUCUGACGGUACCUAACGAAUAAGCUCCGGCUAACUACGUGCCAGCAGCCGCAGUAACAC